CUCUUGUCUCGUAAUCUCUUCACAAUUUUACGCCGUCGGCUAGGGUUUUUAGCGUAACCAGAAGAAGCACAACAAACAGACGUUUUCCGGUCGCCAUGAGAGCCAAGUGGAAGAAGAAGAGAAUGAGGAGAUUGAAAAGGAAGCGCCGAAAGAUGAGGCAGAGAUCUAAGUAAUCUGUUCGUUGGAAAUAAUCUGCCAGCCUUUUUUGAAGGAAUCAUCAGUAUCGUGUCGGUCUCCGUUUCGUAUUUUCUGUUUGAACUUAUCGUAAUCAGUACUGUUUAGUUGAAUUAUUGUUUUUGGAUUAUGAGAUUUUAAUGAUAUGGGUUUAGAUUAACUUUUGCCAA